rnacentral:rRNA from 1 species
UGCGGAAGGGAUAAGCGCUGAAAGCAUAUAAGCGCGAAGCUCUUUCCAAGAUGAGGUCUCCCACAGGGUCAACCUGGUAAGGCCCGUGGCAGACCACCACGUUGAUAGGCCGGAAGUGUACGUGCGGUAACGCAUUCAGCUGACCGGUACUAAUCGGCCGAGGGCUUGGAGAC